GACGAACGCUGGCGGCGUGCUUAACACAUGCAAGUCGAACGGAAAGGCCCUGCUUUUGUGGGGUGCUCGAGUGGCGAACGGGUGAGUAACACGUGAGUAACCUGCCCUUGACUUUGGGAUAACUUCAGGAAACUGGGGCUAAUACCGGAUAGGAGCUCCUGCUGCAUGGUGGGGGUUGGAAAGUUUCGGCGGUUGGGGAUGGACUCGCGGCUUAUGAGCUUGUUGGUGGGGUAGUGGCUUACCAAGGCUUUGACGGGUAGCCGGCCUGGGAGGGUGACCGGCCACAAUGGGACUGAGAGACGGCCCAGAAUCGUACGGGCCGCAGUAGUGGAGAAUAUUGCACAAUGGGCGGAAGUCUGAUGUAGAAACGCCGCGUGCGGGAUGACGGCUUUCGGGUUGUAAACCGCUUUCGCCUGUGACGAAGCGUGAGUGACGGUAAUGGGUAAAGAAGCACCGGCUAACUACGUG
rnacentral:rRNA from 1 species